rnacentral:rRNA from 1 species
UACGUAGGGUGCAAGCGUUGUCCGGAUUUAUUGGGCGUAAAGAGCUCGUAGGUGGUUUCGUAAGUCGAGAGUCAAAACAUCAGGCUUAACCUGGUGCCGCUUUUGAUACUGCGAUGACUUGAGUUUGGUAGGGGAGAACAGAAUUCCACGUGUAGCGGUGAAAUGCGCAGAUAUGUGGAGGAAUACCGAUGGCGAAGGCAGUUCUCUGGGCCAAUACUGACACUGAGGAGCGAAAGCGUGGGGAGCGAACAGG